AGUGAACGCUGGCGGUAGGCCUAACACAUGCAAGUCGAACGGCAGCACUGUAAGAGCUUGCUCUUACGGGUGGCGAGUGGCGGACGGGUGAGGAAUACAUCGGAAUCUACUUUUUCGUGGGGGAUAACGUAGGGAAACUUACGCCAAUACCGCAUACGACCUACGGGUGAAAGCAGGGGAUCUUCGGACCUUGCGCGAUUGAAUGAGCCGAUGUCGGAUUAGCUAGUUGGCGGGGUAAAGGCCCACCAAGGCGACGAUCCGUAGCUGGUCUGAGAGGAUGAUCAGCCACACUGGAACUGAGACACGGUCCAGACUCCUACGGGAGGCAGCAGUGGGGAAUAUUGGACAAAGGGCGCAAGCCUGAUCCAGCCAUACCGCGUGGGUGAAGAAGGCCUUCGGGUUGUAAAGCCCUUUUGUUGGGAAAGAAAAGCAGCAGGUUAAUACCCCGCUGUUCUGACGGUACCCAAAGAAUAAGCACCGGCUAACUUCGUG
rnacentral:rRNA from 1 species